rnacentral:misc_RNA from 1 species
GCCUAUGUCGGCGAACUGCUCAACACCCCGCGCCGUCAGGCCGAACGAUUGCAGGACUUGCUGCCGAAGGAUCGGACAUGAAUUUCUUGUCCGAUCCGCGCUGGAACGACGCGCUGACGCGCCUGCCGGACUACCUCGGCAGCCAUGUCCGCGUCAGUCUGACGGCGCUGGCACUCGGCCUCGUGAUCAGCUUUCCUCUCGCACUGAU